ACAACAACAAUUAUGAUUCCACUUCUAAUCAUAACAAAUAAUGUAAUACAACACUCAACAAUAUUCCCCACUUCUUAACUACACACCUCAUCAUAACACAUACAAUUAUAUUCGGAACACAUAAUUGUAUUCACAACACAACUCUUACACAUAAUCAUAAUUCAACACAUACAAUCACACAAAUUAAUUUAAUUAUUACUUCA
rnacentral:lncRNA from 1 species